rnacentral:tRNA from 1 species
GCCGAUGUAGCUCAGUGGCAGAGCAACGCUUUCGUAAAGCGUAGGUCGUCCGUUCAAUCCGGAUCAUCGGCUCCA